AUUGAACGCUAGCGGAAUGCUUUACACAUGCAAGUCGAACGGCAGCACGGACUUCGGUCUGGUGGCGAGCGGCGAACGGGUGAGUAAUGUAUCGGAACGUGCCCAGUCGUGGGGGAUAACGUAGUGAAAAUUACGCUAAUACCGCAUACGAUCUAUGGAUGAAAGCGGGGGAUCGCAAGACCUCGCGCGAUUGGAGCGGCCGAUAUCAGAUUAGGUAGUUGGUGGGGUAAAGGCCCACCAAGCCAACGAUCUGUAGCUGGUCUGAGAGGACGACCAGCCACACUGGAACUGAGACACGGUCCAGACUCCUACGGGAGGCAGCAGUGGGGAAUUUUGGACAAUGGGCGAAAGCCCGAUCCAGCCAUUCCGCGUGCAGGAUGAAGGCCCUCGGGUUGUAAACUGCUUUUGUACAGAACGAAAAGGUUUCUGCUAAUACUAGGAGCUCAUGACGGUACUGUAAGAAUAAGCACCGGCUAACUACGUGCCAGCAGCCGCGGUAA
rnacentral:rRNA from 1 species